CGUUUGACAUCUUAGGAAUGACAUACAAAUGUUUCAGUGUCCCUUCGGGGAAACCUAAAGACAGGUGGUGCAUGGCUGUCGUCAGCUCGUGUCGUGAGAUGUUGGGUUAACUCCCGCAACGAGCGCCCCCCCUUUCGUAUGUUACCAUCAUUAAGUUGGGGACUCAUGCAAUACUGCCUGCGAUGAGCAGGAGGAAGGGGGGGAUGACGUCAAGUCAUCCUGCCCCUUAUACGCUGGGCUACCCACCUGCUACGAUGGGUAGAACAAAGAGUCACAAAGCUGUGAAGUGGAACUAAUCUCAGAAAACUAUUCUUAGUUCGGAUUGCACUCUGCAACUCGAGUACAUGAAGUUGGAAUCGCUAGUAAUCACGAAUCAGCAAUGUCGCGGUGAAUACGUUCUCGGGUCUUGUACACACCGCCCGUCACACCACGAGAGUUGGUUGCACCUGAAGUAGCAGGCCUAACCGUAAGGAGGGAUGCUCCGAGGGUGUGAUUAGCGAUUGGGGUGAAGUCAUAACAAGGUAUCCGUACGGGAACGUGCGGAUGGAUCACUUUCUUUCAAAAGAGAAAAAGUCUUUCUCUAUUCUAUUGGUAAUGUUCUUUACAUUACUUCUGAACAUUGGAAACUAUAUAGUACAACAAACA
rnacentral:rRNA from 1 species